UACGUAGGGUGCGAGCGUUAAUCGGAAUUACUGGGCGUAAAGGGCUCGUAGGCGGCCAACUAAGUCAGAUGUGAAAUCCCCAGGCUCAACCUGGGAACUGCAUAUGAUACUGGAUGGCUUGAAUUCGGGAGAGGGAUGCAGAAUUCCAGGUGUAGCGGUGAAAUGCGUAGAUAUCUGGAGGAAUACCGGUGGCGAAGGCGGCAUCCUGGACCGACAUUGACGCUGAUGCGCGAAAGCCAGGGGAGCAAACGGG
rnacentral:rRNA from 1 species